rnacentral:rRNA from 1 species
CAGCCGCCACGGUAAUACGUAGGUGGCAAGCGUUGUCCGGAAUUAUUGGGCGUAAAGGGCUCGCAGGCGGUUUCUUAAGUCUGAUGUGAAAGCCCCCGGCUCAACCGGGGAGGGUCAUUGGAAACUGGGAAACUUGAGUGCAGAAGAGGAGAGUGGAAUUCCACGUGUAGCGGUGAAAUGCGUAGAGAUGUGGAGGAACACCAGUGGCGAAGGCGACUCUCUGGUCUGUAACUGACGCUGAGGAGCGAAAGCGUGGGGAGCGAACAGGAUUAGAGACCCGUGUAGUCCCUGUCUCUUAUAC